rnacentral:rRNA from 1 species
GAUGAACGCUAGCGGCAGGCCUAAUACAUGCAAGUCGAACGAGAUUAAGAGGCUUGCUUCUUAUGAAAGUGGCGCACGGGUGCGUAACGCGUAUGCAACCUACCUUAAUCAGGGGGAUAGCCCGAAGAAAUUCGGAUUAAGACCGCAUAAAAACACAGGAUAGCAUUAUCCAAUGUUCAAAUAUUUAUAGGAUUAAGAUGGGCAUGCGUGUCAUUAGCUAGUUGGCGGGGUAACGGCCCACCAAGGCGACGAUGACUAGGGGAUCUGAGAGGAUGACCCCCCACACUGGUACUGAGACACGGACCAGACUCCUACGGGAGGCAGCAGUAAGGGAUAUUGGUCAAUGGAGGGAACUCUGAACCAGCCAUGCCGCGUGCAGGAAGACAGCCCUCUGGGUCGUAAACUGCUUUUAUUCGGGAAUAAACCUUUCUACGUGUAGGAAGCUGAAUGUACCGAAGGAAUAAGGAUCGGCUAACUCCGUG